rnacentral:rRNA from 1 species
ACGAACGCUGGCGGCGUGCUUCACACAUGCCAGUCGCACGGAAAGGCCCUGCUUUUGUGGGGUGCUCGCGUGGCGAACGGGUGAGUAACACGUGAGUAACCUGCCCUUGACUUUGGGAUAACUUCAGGAAACUGGGGCUAAUACCGGAUAGGAGCUCCUGCUGCAUGGUGGGGGUUGGAAAGUUUCGGCGGUUGGGGAUGGACUCGCGGCUUAUCAGCUUGUUGGUGGGGUAGUGGCUUACCAAGGCUUUGACGGGUAGCCGGCCUGAGAGGGUGACCGGCCACAUUGGGACUGAGAUACGGCCCAGACUCCUACGGGAGGCAGCAGUGGGGAAUAUUGCACAAUGGGCGGAAGCCUGAUGCAGCAACGCCGCGUGCGGGAUGACGGCCUUCGGGUUGUAAACCGCUUUCGCCUGUGACGAAGCGUGAGUGACGGUAAUGGGUAAAGAAGCACCGGCUAACUACGUG